UUGACCUCGGAUCAGGUAGGGAUACCCGCUGAACUUAAGCAUAUCAAUAAGCGGAGGAAAAGAAACCAACAGGGAUUGCCUCAGUAACGGCGAGUGAAGCGGCAAAAGCUCAAAUUUUAAAGCUGACAUCUUCGGUGUCCGCGUUGUAAUUUUGUGAGGCAUCUCCGGGUAGGGCGCUGGCCUAAGUUCCUUGGAACAGGACGUCACAGAGGGUGAGAAUCCCGUGCUUGGCUGGCUGUCCCCGUCCAUGUGAGGUGUCUUCGACGAGUCGAGUUGUUUGGGAAUGCAGCUCAAAAUGGGUGGUAAAUUUCAUCUAAAGCUAAAUAUUGGUGGGAGACCGAUAGCGCACAAGUAGAGUGAUCGAAAGAUGAAAAGCACUUUGAAAAUAGAGUUAAAAAGUACGUGAAAUUGUUGAAAGGGAAGCGCUUGAGACCAGACUUCGGUAAGGGGUGAUCAGCCGUCCUUUUGGGCGGUGCACUUGCCCCCCUCCGGGCCAGCAUCGGUUGAGGCGGCGGGAUAAAGGUCCCGGGAAUGUGGCUCCUUCACGGGAGUGUUAUAGCCCGGGUGAAUGCCGCCAGCUUCGACCGAGGACCGCACCCGCAAGGGUUAGGAUGCUUGGCAUAAUGGUCUUCAGCGACCCGUCUU
rnacentral:rRNA from 1 species